rnacentral:rRNA from 1 species
UACGUAGGGUGCGAGCGUUAAUCGGAAUUACUGGGCGUAAAGCGCACGUAGGCGGAUUGUUAAGUGAGGGGUGAAAUCCCAGGGCUCAACCCUGGAACUGCCUUUCAUACUGGCAAUCUCGAGUCCGAGAGAGGUGAGUGGAAUUCCGAGUGAUAGAGGUGAAAUUCGUAGAUAUUCGGAGGAACACCAGUGGCGAAGGCGGCUCACUGGCUCGGUACUGACGCUGAGGUGACGAAAGCGUGGGGGAGCAAACAGG